UAUAAAUAAAGACAGAAUAUGUAAAUAUGCAGAUUCACAAAUAAUGAAACCAACAAACCAAAACAUCCCUUCAAUUACGGUCCUGUGUUAACCCCGUUUUCUUCAUUCUUAUAUUUGUUUAAAAUUCGUUUUGGUUUAUCUUGUUACUUUCUUUUAUUUCUGCUUUUAGACUGUUCCAUAAUUUAACUCCGUCAGCUUGAGAAAACUAUUAGUUUCCUUCUUUUAUCAGGUAACUGCUGGUUUGUGUCUGCAAUAUCUGCACUGACCUUCCAAACAAAUCUGAUGGAACAAGUUGUACCAAUGGAUCAGUCCUUUGAGGAUUAUGCAGGAAUAUUUCACUUCCGGUUCUGGAGGUUUGGAAAGUGGGUAGAUGUUGUCAUUGAUGACAAUCUGCCAAC